AUGAAAUUUCGCAAAAACCGGACACAUUGGAUUUCACAAAAUUGCCGCACCAUUUUGCCAACUAAACACAGGCGCAUUCUCUUUCCCCGGCUGGCGGCGGCGAUGGCUACCCGCAGAGCCAAAAAGCGAAAAUGGCAUGAGGCCGAGUUGGUCGCCGGCGUCCGACCACCGGCGAGCGGCAAGCGCGAAGUCGGAGAAGGUCCCGACCUGAUCAGCAACCUACCCGACGGCGUUCUCUGCGACAUCAUCUCGCUCCUCCCCACCGAGGACGGCGCCCGCACCCAGAUCCUCUCCACCCGGUGGCGCCCCCUCUUUCGCUCCGCCCCGCUCAACCUCGACGUCGAGCUCCGCCGCAAAGACGAGCCCGCCUCCUCCGGCCUCGUCUCCCGCAUUCUCGCCGAGCACCAGGCGCGCUGCCGCCGGCUUGCCCUGAUCUGGCACGGCUACGAAUCUGACCACGUCUUCCCAUUACUGAACGGCUGGCUCGAGUCGCCGGCCUUCAAAGGCCUCUCCGAGUUCGAUCUGUGGCUAAAGCAAGAGGAAAUUUGCCAGAAACUUCGGUUUGUGCCAACGUGGGAGGUUCCGUAUGGGCUGCCACUGUCCUUGCUCCGGCUUUUGCCCAAGCUCCGCAUCCUCAGCAUCAAGUGCACCUGCUACGUGAUCCAUUUCCCCUCCACUACCACCUUGGCCGGCGAUCUACAUUUUCACGAACUCAAGCAGCUCACACUUAAAGGUGUCGUUGUCUCGGAGGGCUUCCUCCAUGGCCUUCUUGCUGGAUGCACCGUGCUGGAGAGCUUGGUACUUAGCGGAUUGGAAGGUGCCUGUGGUUUUCGGAUCAACUCGUCCACCCUUAGGAGGCUAGGGGUGUCGUCUGGUUUUGGUUGGACAGAUGAAUUGUUGCGAGAAGUCAUUGUUGAGGAUGCCCCUGUCCUAGAGAAGUUGUUCCUAUGUGGGAGAGAUCACAACCUAUCUGUCCGUGUGCUUUACGCACCCAAACUGGACUUCUUGGGUUCUCUGCCAGAAGGGUUCACCAAAGGCAAGCUUGAAACCAAUGUUCUUCAGGGAAUUGUUGCCGUCAAUUUGAUGAAUGUGGUGCGGACAGUUAAAGUUUUGGUUUUGCGCAUGUCCCCUCCAAGUGUUGAUGAUGCCAUUGACUUCGUGACAUUCUUUCCUUGCUUGGAGAAGUUAUAUAUUUUGUUAUUCCGGGAUGGGGCAUCAAAAAGAGCACGACACCAUUUUCCACUUGGUUAUAUUGAAUGUUUGGAGCUCCAUCUCAAAAAGGUAGUGCUGAUAAAUUAUCAUGGAUCACCGAGAGAUGUUCAUUUUGCAAGGUUCUUUCUGUUGAACGCAAAAGUGCUAGAACUGAUGGAGUUUGCAACACGCAAAUCGGAAGGUCGAAAGAAAUGCAUUUCUGAAUGGAUAGCUAGCCAACCAAUGAAACUACAGCUGGAUAACAGGGCUUCUCAAGGUGCUCAGUUUAAUUUUACCGAUGCUUCUUACUACGAUGACGGGAUACAUAUUGGGCACAUCCAUGACCUGACUGUUAGUGACCCCUUUGAUAGAUCAUUGUGUCGAUGUCGUGAUAUCGAUGUACUUUGA
rnacentral:rRNA from 1 species